AGAAUACAACAAAUGACGAUUCUGAAAAAGAAGUUGAUGACCAGAAAAAGGGAUAGGAAGAUGACCUGUUUGCUUGAAGAGCGAGGGAUAGUAAUAUCUCAGAGAAUCUCUGAAAAAGAUCUCUAGAAAAGGCAAGGAAACAGAUUAUCCCCUAGAGCCUCCAGAAGGGUGAAGAACUACUUUUCAAAGGGUGAAACACAAGAAUGGCUUUUAGGAAUUUUCCCCCAAAGUAAUCUGUGACUGGAUCCUGUUGCCAAAACUUGGCCUCUGUUCACCGGUGCCGAAGAGAAAUGCGGAGACAGAGUUUUGGGUGAAGUAGAAAAGAGUAGCUUUUACUGCUUUGCCAGGCAGAGGGGGCCACAGCGGGCUAAUGCCCUCAAGACUGUGUGACCCACCCUGGAGGCCAUAGUGAGGAGUCUUACAGUGUUCGAGGAGCAGGGCGUGAUCAGCUCGCGGAUUGGCUGGCAUCAAGGUGAAGUUUCAAGCGUCAUCAACCUUCUGGUUUCAACCAGUCCAGGGUCCAUGUGCUUGUGGGCAGCACUUUCCAUCUGGAGGGGGUCUGCUCCCUGUAAAACCACUUAGGAGUGCGUGUCAGGCCUUUAUCUGUAGCUUCAGUGAACUGGGAGCUCGGUGAUUCUGCCA